UUUCAAUGUGGGGGAAAAAAUAUUACUUUUCUUGAAUUUUAACAUUUAUGAUUAAUUUAUUACUAGUUAAAAGUUAGGCAAUCCAUCACUGAGUACCGGCACCUAUUUCUUUACAAAAAAAAGCACCAUAUAUAUAUAUAUAUAUAUAUAUAUAUAAAAUAUUUGUAUAUAUAUAUAUAUAUGUAUAUAACUGCAUCCUAUUUAUUUCUCUUUCAUUCUUUCGCUUCUUUACUGUUAUUGUGCACUUAACGGCUGCCUGGUCGUGCGGUUUGCGCGCUGGACUGUCGUUUCGAUUUAUCGAUGGUCCUCGGGUUUAAACCCUGCACGUUCCCUUCCCCCGUCGUCCUGCGGGUGGUUUGGACUAGGAAGUAAACUAUCUUCAACUCUGAUGGAACAUCCGAAACAUGUAAAACAUUUUACAACAUUUUUACAAAAAAGUAAAUACAUUGCUUCAAGACUUAAGAAAUUUACUUGCCAAAAUUUAUUCUAAAUUGAUUUACGGACUAGGAGGUCCCCAAGUGCCCCACCCACACACACACACGAGCAACGUCACGUGCUACCAACACACGGUGCAGACUUCACAGCGUGAUU